CCUACGGGAGGCAGCAGUGGGGGAUAUUGCACAAUGGGGGGAACCCUGAUGCAGCGACGCCGCGUGGGUGAAGAAGCGCCUCGGCGCGUAAAGCCCUGUCAUCAGUGAAGAAAAUGACGGUUCCUUAAGAAGCAACCCCGGCUAACUACGGUCCAGCAGCCGCGGUAAUAAGUAGGGGGCAAGCGUUAUCCGGAUUUACUGGGUGGAAAGGGGGCGCAGACGGCGAUGCAAGCCAGCCGUGAAAGCCCGGGGCCCAACCCGGGGACUGCACUUGGAACUGGGUGGCUGGAGUGCAGGAGGGGCAGGCGGAAUUCCUGGUGUAGCGGUGAAAUGCGUAGAUAUCAGGAGGAACACCGGUGGCGAAGGCGGCCUGCUGGACUGCAACUGACGUUGAGGCCCGAAAGCGUGGGGAGCAAACAGGAUUAGAUACCCUUGUAGUC
rnacentral:rRNA from 1 species